AGGAAGGAUGGGAUUCAAGAUACAGACCGACAGCCAACCUUUCAGUCUACAGGAGACCUACGAGGCUAAGAGGAAAGAAUUCUUGGAGGACCUUCAGCGCAACGAAGAAGAAAUGCGCCAAAUGUUUGUGAAUAAAGUAAAAGAGACGGAAGCAGAGCUGAAAGAAAAGGAGAGAGAGUACACACAAACCUCUACCUGUCAGCCCCA